AUGAUUCCUCUGUGCAUGCUAACGUUUCUGCUCACAAUAAGAGGUGUCAGCUGUGAAGACCUCAGUCCAGUCAACAAUGAAGAGUCCAGUUUAGAAGACAGCACUGUUACUCUGUCCUACAAAUACUCCAAACAAGCAACUGCUCAAGAUUAUUUCUUCUGGUAUCGACAAUAUCCAGGAAAACCACCAGAGUUCCUCAUCUUUCACUUGGGAACACAACGUGCAACAAACUCCAGACUGACUGUGAAAGUGAGUGAGGAUCAAACCCAAAUGGAUCUGCAGAUCUCCUCUGCUGCAGUGACUGACUCUGCUCUGUACUACUGUGCUGUGAGGCCCACAGUGACAGCAAACCCACAGUCUCUGUACAAAAACACAAGCUGACACACUGACGAGCUGC